rnacentral:rRNA from 1 species
AACGCUGGCGGCAUGCCUAACACAUGCAAGUCGAACGGGUUGUACUUCGGUACAGCUAGUGGCGGACGGGUGAGUAACACAUAGGAAUCUGCCCGAGAGUGGGGGAUAACCCAGGGAAACUUGGAUUAAUACCGCAUGAUCUCUACGGAGCAAAGCUGGGGACCUUCGGGCCUGGCGCUUUUGGAGGAGCCUAUGUCUGAUUAGCUUGUUGGUGAGGUAACGGCUCACCAAGGCGACGAUCAGUAACUGGUCUGAGAGGACGACCAGUCACACCGGAACUGAGACACGGUCCGGACUCCUACGGGAGGCAGCAGUGGGGAAUAUUGGACAAUGGGCGAAAGCCUGAUCCAGCAAUGCCGCGUGUGUGAAGAAGGCCUUCGGGUUGUAAAGCACUUUAGGAUGGAAAGAAAAAACUUCAGUUAAUAGCUGAAGUCUUGACGGUACCAUCAGAAUAAGCACCGG